rnacentral:rRNA from 1 species
CCUACGGGUGGCAGCAGUAAGGGAUAUUGGUCAAUGGGGGAAACCCUGAACCAGCAACGCCGCGUGAGGGAAGACGGUUUUCGGAUUGUAAACCUCUGUCCUCUGUGAAGAUGAUGACGGUAGCAGAGGAGGAAGCUCCGGCUAACUACGUGCCAGCAGCCGCGGUAAUACGUAGGGAGUGAGCGUUGUCCGGAUUUACUGGGUGUAAAGGGGGCGUAGGCUGUGAGGUAAGUCAGCGGUGAAAUGCCCCCGCUCAACGGGGUGAAGUGCCAUUGAUACUGCCUUGCUGGAAUGCGGAUGCCGUGGGAGGAAUGUGUGGUGUAGCGGUGAAAUGCAUAGAUAUCACACAGAACACCGAUUGCGAAGGCAUCUCACGAAUCCGCGAUUGACGCUGAUGCACGAAAGCGUGGGUAUCAAACAGGAUUAGAUACCCGGGUAGUC